rnacentral:lncRNA from 1 species
CAUUUGAAACAAACAGAAAUAAUCUCUAAUAUAUCAAUCCUACUUCUUCGUCUGUAAGCACGCUGCUGCAGCCUACGUUUUCUAAUGCUUAAUCGAGACAUCUUUAGUAUCUUUAAACUACUGCAAAUCAUCAAUAUGUAUUUCAUAAAGAAGCAACCACUUAACUUCCAAAAAGGGGGGGGGUGUAAUUUGUUUAUUUAUCUGAGUCAGAUUUUUUUCACGCAAACGUUUUAUUUCCUUUUUUUUCGAUGCUGGUAAUUUUUUUCAACAUUUAACACUAUAAAUUAUGUAUGGGGAAACUCUUGAUUCAGAAUAUUUUUUUAUCAUCAGUAGGACCAGAAUUUUUUUGUAUCCAAUUGAGGUUGGGAAUAUUACCACCC